AAUCAGCAGUGCAGAUGUCUCUUUCAAUUUUACUGGAUUCUUUUUCAAGCUGGAGUAACAACUCUGCAAGGUACUCAAGGUGUAGGAACAUCAGAAGCUCCUGUCAUAACAAUGUUCUCUCUCUUUUUUUUUUUUUUUUUUUUAUAGGCUUCACUCAGAAGGAAUGUAGAGUCACUGUCAAAACAUACAGAGAUAGGCUUAGAGAAGCCAAAGCCCAUCUCAGCUGAAUCUGGUGAGAGAUGUGAAGAGCAACAGGAAAGUUUUACAGGAAUAUCAGCAGCAAAAGGAAGAUCAGGCCAAAUCUGGGCCCACUGAUGAGUUGGGCAAGAGAGCUGGUGACAAAAUCUGUGGAGAAGACCAAGGUCUAUUGUUUCUUCAAUUCAGUCUUUAAUGGUGAGAUUUGCAUUCAGGAAUCUUGGGCCCAUUCAGACCAAUGGGAAGUUUGGAGUGAGGAUAACUUACCUUUGGUAGAGGAAGGAAGAGGUUAGGGAACACCCAUACAAACAGGACACACACAACAAGUUCAUGGGACCUGAUGGAGUGCACCCACAAACUCUGGGGGACCUGGCCAAUGUCACUGUGAGGUCAAGGUAAUAUCUGAAAGUUGUGGCUAGUGAGGGAAGCUUCUGAGGAGUGGAAGAAGAAAAAUGUCUCUGCUAUCUGCAAGAUCAUCAGAAAGGAGGAUCUGGGAAACUACAAGGCAGUCAACCUCACCUCAGCCCCUUGGGAAGUGGUGGAAUGAAUAACCCUGGAAAUGAAUCCAAGUGCAUGAAGGACAAGAAGUCAUUCAUCUGCUGCAAAUAUCUCAUACAGCGUUCAAAGAGCCUCUUUCUAUGCUUCACUUAACCCAGCUGCCAAAUAUUUGUCUGCCUGUCAAACGAACAGCCUUUAAACCAGUUAAAGACAGAAAAUGGAACAACAGCAACAAAAGUCCACUGGCUUCUGUCCCAGUACGCCGUCAGCUCAGGAUGCCGUGGGACAAUUUGAUAGCAGAGGCACCAUCCGACCUGGAUUUGUCGGCGCACGAGGCUGAGUUGUUGCGCUCCCUACCCAGCCUGGCGUUCAAUAGCCCGAGUGUUCGGCAGAGCAGGGAGGUGACUGCAUUCGCCUUUGCAGGGCACCUGGGAUAAUAGGGAAAUGGGAAAAGUAGUUGCAUAUACAUUUGUGCCAGCCAGAACAAAGUGGCUGGCUCUACCUCACACCAGGAAUAUUUCACAAGAGCGUGUUUGAAGCAGUUCUUCCUCUGAAUGCAUCAGGGACUCUCAGAAAGGAAAUGUACCUGCUGCAAGUUUGCAGAAAGGAGGCCACUGAUAGAGCAAAGUACAGGCUGGGUGGUCUUAGAAACAUCUUCAAACAAACGAAACUAUUGAAAGAUGAUGUAAUAUAAGUAUUUUGUGCUUGAAAGAAAAACCUGAGAUCAUAAUGCCGAAAAAAACUACAGGUAUUGGUAUUUAUUUUUUCAGGGGGCAUUGCUACCAUAUUCAAAAACACCAAUGUAUAUUACAAAAAUUAACUUGACUUGCCUAAAAAUUGAAUAUUCUUGACCACCACCUUCUUUUGUCCUAAUGCUAUUUUUACCUCGGUUUUAAACAAGUAGGUGAUUCUGCUCCCCUUGGAAAACCUCUUGUUAGAGUUUUCUCUGUGCGUGGAGGUGGAGAUGUUUGGGAUGGAAGAGUGAUCGUGUGCACUCAGGUAGAGUUGUUCUUGCUACAAUUUAAGUGAUUGAUGCAGGGGGGGAUGUAUUUUCUACUUUAUAUAGCAUUUUUAUAAUACAUUUCCUGGGAUAAUAAAGAAGCAAUAUUCUGUAACAGUGAUGUUUUACAGGCUGGUGUGAAAGGAAACGUACAAGCCAUGUUUUCAUUACAAGGCAAAUAGGAACUUUGGCUGUGUAUUUAGGUCAAAGACAAGCUUUAAUAGACUUACCUCGCUCUCGUGUAAGUUCCCCUAAACAGGAUGGUCAAGUCUGCUGUGAAACGACACGAGAAACUCUACAGUUGUUGUUCCUGCCCCCCAACCACAACCUCAUAAUUUCCAAGUAGUAGGCUGCAGCUGCCGCUUUGCCACGUUAGCUUUAUAAGAAGUUAGCAAGGCCUUUGAAACCCAAACUUCUUAAUAUUUGAUGCCUCUUGGAUCGCUUUCAUGUUACGGCGUGGAUCUGUCCAGCUGUUCUGAACCAUCAGUGUAAUGAUUUCCUCAGCAGCUAUUAAUUCCUGUUGCUAAAGCACAUCUUUAACACCAAAGGUAUCUCAUUUAGUUCCAGGUUCUAAGUUUUACAUUAUUCCUCUUUCUGUCGGUUUUUGAGUAAUUAUACUUCACUAGUUCACACAGGGUCAGGUCACAACAGGAGACACUACUGAAUUUGGCUUUAGUUUUUCCUUUACAGAUGGUAGGGUUGGGAAGGGCAGCUCUUCACAAGCCACGCAGAAGUCAGCCUGAUGCUGGGUUGUAAUCUAAAUAAAACUAUGAGAUGCAACCACUCUCCUUCUCUAAUAGUCCUGGACAAUCAUGAUGCCCAUUCCCUCCUUGCUUUAUAUCCCCUCUUCAUCUGUAGAGAGCAUUUUCUAAAAUUUUUCCAGUGCUUGCAAGCAUUCAUCAUCCGAAAAACAGGUGAUUCAGGAAUAUCGCAAGGAGGAAAUGCACCUUGAAGGGAUGAAUAAAAACUUCAG